GGGGGAAGGGCUCAGUGAUGGAGUGCGUGCCUAGCAUGCAUGAUGUCCUGGGUUCAAUCCCCAGUACCUUCA
rnacentral:tRNA from 1 species